rnacentral:rRNA from 1 species
CAGUUCGGAUGCAGGCUGCAACCCGCCUGCGUGAAGUUGGAAUUGCUAGUAAUCGCGGAUCAGCAUGCCGCGGUGAAUACGUUCUCGGGCCUUGUACACACCGCCCGUCACACCAUGGGAGCCGGUAAUACCCGAAGUCAGUAGCCUAACCGCAAGGGGGGCGCUGCCGAAGGUAGGAUUGGCGACUGGGGUGAAGUCGUAACAAGGUAUC